AGUGAACGCUGGCGGUAGGCCUAACACAUGUAAGUCGAACGGCAGCACAGUAAGAGCUUGCUCUUACGGGUGGCGAGUGGCGGACGGGUGAUGAAUACAUCGGAAUCUACUUUUUCGUGGGGGAUAACGUAGGGAAACUUACGCUAAUACCGCAUACGACCUACGGGUGAAAGCAUGGGAUCUUCGGACCUUGCGCGAUUGAAUGAGCCGAUGUCGGAUUAGCUAGUUGGCGGGGUAAAGGCCCACCAAGGCGACGAUCCUUAGCUGGUCUGAGAGGAUGAUCAGCCACACUGGAACUGAGACACGGUCCAGACUCCUACGGGAGGCAGCAGUGGGGAAUAUUGGACAAUGGGCGAAAGCCUGAUCCAGCCAUACCGCGUGGGUGAAGAAGGCCUUCGGGUUGUAAAGCCCUUUUGUUGGGAAAGAAAAGCAGCAGGUUAAUACCCCGCUGUUCUGACGGUACCCAAAGAAUAAGCACCGGCUAACUUCGUG
rnacentral:rRNA from 1 species